UGAUGAUCAGAAGUGUAUGACGUCGUUCUCCCAGGUAGUUUUAGUAAAGGAGCUGUUGUACAGAACUUUAAGAGUAUCAGCAUCAUGUGUGGCAGAUGUGUGGAGAGAAACUGUGCAGACCAGUGUCACUAUGUGUAUAAAGGGUUAAGAUCCACUAGAUCUUACCUGGAAUGUAUACACCACCUUAAUAGACAUCCGAAGAAAUGUAUACCAUAUGAACUGAUAGAUGAAGUGUUGUUAUACUUGUAUAAAUUUGUGAGUGUUUGAUAAUGGCAAUAAAGGGCAGAAUACAACAAUGGAGGCCCCAAGUGAUAUCGGUACGAGAUAAGUAGGAUGAAGUCAUUUAACUCAAUUUUUGUGAGACCCUAUUAAAGUAAAGUGUCACAGAAUUCAUCAUAUAAAUAGUGCUUUAGAACAAAACAGUAUGUGUCAUUUAACUUCUGUCAGUGUCAUUAAAUGAGCACACAUCUAAAUUUUGACAUAAAAGUCAAAUAAUUAUAGCAGUUGUGGUUUCCAACUUAAACUGUUCAAGUGUUUAUCCAGAAAGUUUAUAAUAGUGACGUUCAUAUGCUUAGAAAAACAUAUUACGUAUAAAUAUUCGUGAGGACACGAAUUAUUAGAAUAGGAAGAAUACCGACCGACAUUUCGAGUGGGUUAUUCGUGACGAGAUAUUCUGGAACAGAAAAGAGCGGCAUUUAGAGAAGUCGUGGUAUUCUGGAACAGCAAGAUCAACAUUUCAAGACAUUUUAGUGUGAUGUUCAUCGGUGAAGAACAGUGACUUCAGUGUGAUGAACUGUUUGAUGUUUUUGGUGAUUUAUCAUUGAUUUUAAACAGUAUUGUCGUUAUUUCAGUAUCAGCAUCACGUGUGGCAGAUGUGUGGAGAGAAACUGUGCAGAUCAGUGUCACUGUGUGUAUAAAGGGUUAAGAUCCCCUAGAUCUUGCCUGGAAUGUAUACA